GGAAGGAAGGAACGGAGGAGAGAAGAAGAAGCGAGUUCACACUACUCGGACUGAUCAGUUUACCUUGAAUGCUCUAACUGGUACCUAAAUCAGCCGCCGAAGAAGUAACUUCAUCUUCUGACGUGCCCAUAAAUAUGAAAAAGUGUCGGGAAAAGAUAAAUCAGCUUGCAGUCAGGGGUAGGGUGAAGGAGCCCAAGCCAAAGGCCACUGAGAACACUGAUCCCAAUGUGGAGAAGGCUGCCAAGGUUGGAGCCAAGAAGACUAAGAACAAGGAUGCCGGUAAACUGAAUCCACUGAAUUGAUUGUGCUCAUCAAUCUGCACAAUUGUAUGGGAUCAUUGUUAUUGAGCUACUCCCAUUGCAAUGGAGGACAUUUAACAUUGCUCAUUCAAUGACUUGUAUGGGUAUCUCACUUCUCCUCAUGGUGUCCAUGAUUGCAUGCAUACACACACAUCACUAACUCUUGUCUCUAGAAGCUGAGAAGAAAAAGGCUACAGCCAAAAAGCAGAAGGAGAAACCUCCAGAGGCAAGUGUGGUUUCAGUAAUGUUCUGACUAUUGGCAUUGUUCAAGUGGUUUUGGU